AUUGAACGCUGGCGGCAGGCUUAACACAUGCAAGUCGAGCGGGGGAAGGUAGCUUGCUACCGGACCUAGCGGCGGACGGGUGAGUAAUUCUUAGGAAUCUGCCUAUUAGUGGGGGACAACAUCUCGAAAGGGAUGCUAAUACCGCAUACGUCCUACGGGAGAAAGCAGGGGCUCUUCGGACCUUGCGCUAAUAGAUGAGCCUAAGUCGGAUUAGCUAGUUGGUGGGGUAAAGGCCUACCAAGGCGACGAUCUGUAGCGGGUCUGAGAGGAUGAUCCGCUACACUGGGACUGAGACACGGCCCAGACUCCUACGGGAGGCAGCAGGGGGGAAUAUUGGACAAUGGGGGGAACCCUGAUCCAGCCAUGCCGCGUGUGUGAAGAAGGCCUUAUGGUUGUAAAGCACUUUAAGCGUGGAGGAGGCUACUUUAGUUAAUACCUAGAGAUAGUGGACGUUACUCGCAGAAUAAGCACCGGCUAACUCUGUGCCAGCCGCCGCGUAA
rnacentral:rRNA from 1 species